UUGCAGAAAAGAACAAUUUGUCUUUUAUUGAAACAUCUGCUUUGGAUUCGACCAAUGUAGAGGAAGCAUUCAAAAAUAUUCUUACAGAAAUAUACCGUAUAGUGUCACAGAAGCAAAUUGCAGACAGAUCGGCACAUGAUGAAUCUCCUGGAAAUAAUGUGGUUGACAUUACUGUACCACCAACCACCGACGGACAGAAAUCGAGUAAACUGCAGUGCUGUCAGAAUCUGUGACUUUUCUUGGUUAUCAUCCUUGCCUGUGCUUUCUACUAAACUGCCGUGUUUGCUUUUGUCAAUUGUCUCUUGUAAGUUUUGGCAAAUGAUUUUCAUUUCAGAACUUUUACUGUAGAGGUAACAUUCCCUCUAUUAUGAAAUCCCCUUUAAUAUGACAGUUUUCUGGGCUUUAAAUGAAAGCAUUGCCCUUGGCUCUUGUUGGAUUACCUCAUAAUGGUUGUGCUUACCAAUUACAUAACACUUGAGUGUAAACCCAAGCCAUCACAUUUGUUGAGUUGUGUUGCCAGGAGAGUAUUUAAAUAAAGUGAAAUGGAUAUUUGUAUUUUAUUCUGACAUUUUAAGGAAAAAAUUGCAAGGAAAACCUCUUGUUGGUUAUAUCCACUGUUUAUGCUACACAGUUAAAACAGGAGUUGUACCAUUUUAAAGGUAAAACUGGUUUGUUUAAAAGUAUGUACUCUCUAACUGCAAGUUUUCCUUCAGACUAAAAAGAAAGGAUGCAGCAUACGACAUUAGUGUUCUGCAUGUUCAAACUUAAUUAUGAGUACUUUGAUGGGAGUUCAUUUAAGAAGAAUAAAUUCACAUUUGAAAUCAGUUUAUCUCUAACAAGGGUAAAACUUUUUUGUGUUAAUCUGUUCCUAUGUCCUUUACAUGCUUGAAAUCUGUUUAUAGCCCUGAUUUCACAUACUACUGUUUAGUUCAUUACUGAACCUGUGCGCAUUCAUCACGCUGCCCUAAAGGAAUUAUAUUUACAAAAAUAAUCUUUUGAGGAACAUCUGGUAAUAUCGUUGCUGUGGUCCAUUGGAAUGUAGAAUGUUGGUGUUCUGGAAAUGUAUUCAUGUACAGGGAUUUAGAUUGCCAAAGUUGAAUGUAUUGCUGGGUUGCCUAAUGUCCCAACACAUGGUAAGAUUUAAGUCUGUUGGAUAAUGACUUGCCAGUAGUGGUUUUGCGGUAGGUCUUAUUGUUUUUUGGUUCUCGGUAACCUCACAUUUUGUAGUUAAUAUGGGGGGUGGGGAGGCUUCACUACAUACUUUUCUCCAACAUGUGGAGGAGCUUUCAUAGAGUUUGCUGUGUGUCCAGCACCAACAGAAACAAAUCUUCCUUUACCAUGUUUUCAGUAGGGUUAUUUGAAGGAGUUAAAACAGUUGUGGUCUGAGCUGUGUCACAUGGACACAUGCUUUGAAAUAAAACAACUAUAGUAGCACACUGUCAAUGUUUGGAAUGUAUUCAGUAGUGCAUUGUGAAGUUAAAUAGGAUGUGUUAUUGUCACAAACUAUGCUGGUAGUAUGCAAAGUUGCAGAUUGUCCUUAAUGUGGGUUACAUUUUCAAAUAUUGAAGAGUGCAAAAUGUAUUUCCCAUCAGUCUAAAACAAUCGGAUGACUGCUAGUUGUCAAAGUGGGAAUGGCUCCCAAGCCGUAACAGUACCCCUCCAGAAUGUACCUGUUUGUAUGACAUUUAGAAAUGGUUGCCAAAUAAGCUCAAUUGCUAGCUUCAAGUUUUUUUUUUCAUUUUGCUACAUAGUUGCAGAAUGUGAAUGAAGCAGAUUGUUUAAAACUGAGAUCUGGAUGAAAAUAUAAUGAAAAUAUGGUUGUCCUUGUGUUUUUAUCAUUUAGCUAAGUGAGCUCCAUAUUCUAGUUCUCUACUUGGUAUUCUAUAUUUGGAACUUGACAUUUCCUUGUGUUCUGAUGGUCUUUCCUACAUGCUAAAAUAUUCUUUAUACAGAAGUGUAAAGCGGCAUUUUGCUACCAAAGUUUGAAGUAGAAUCAUCAUGUGCCAUGUUUGUAUGUUCUUGUAAUAUGUUUUUUUCUGUAUUCUCAGUCUUGUUGGCCAUAGUUGGGGGGGGGGGGGGGCUAGUGUAUGUAACAUUCAUAACCCAUUGAAGUAGUUGAUCCUGAGGCACAUGUGCCUGAUAUUUCCUGUGAGUCUUUGCUGUAACACUUGAGGAUUAGGCAGAAGUAUCAGUAAGCACUUUUGAAAAUACACUCUCCCUUUUAACAUUUGGCCUUUCCUUCUCUGACAGCUCUUUGCAAAAUUGAGAAGAUAUUGAGUACCCCCCCCCUUGUUUUGGACUGCAGAUUUUCAGGGAGAGUGAACUUUGAGUUUAUCAUGCUUGAUUGCUACAUGUUGCAUUUUAAAGUAUCCAUUGGUGUGUAUUUUAUAUUCAUAGCUAGCAUUUUUCAUUACAUAAGUUAACCCAUACUGACAUCUGUUGCGUCGUCUCUGGGGAAUGAGGUGGCUGUUCUGUUUUCAGGUGCUUCUAUAACCACUCAAAGGCUUUUUGGUGUGCGCAAGCACUACUGUAUAUAUUGUCUUGCUUACUUAGCUGAACUAAACUUGCUAGAUGUUCCUCACUUCCAUUUUUGUCUGCAUAAUGGUAAUGGAAUGUCUGCAGUUUGACAGAGGGGUAAAUGAAUUGUAUUUGGAUGUCAUGUGAUAGAAGGAUGAGACAGCACAGCAGGGGGAGCAUAUUCUUAUCAAUUGCAACGUUUUUUACCAUUUCUUUGAUGUAAUUAUGCCUUCAUUUUGUAAAGUGCGCUUUCUUAUUCUAAAAUGUAAUCCAAAAAUCGGCGUUAAAACAACACAGAAUGUCCCUAAUAGUCAAAGUAAACGCUGAAAUAUAACUGAUGCACAACAAGCGAUAUGCCAUAGCCAAGUGGUGUAGAAUCAGUCACAUUUAAUGUUCCACAGAUGUUAAAAAUCACAUUAAGUGCUUUCAUCCACACUACGGUAGACUUCAUCAGAAUAAUAAGCACCAUAACUCAAUCACAUAAAUACCCCACUUUGGCACCAGAGGUGCAUUGAAUGCUCAAAAUUUAAAGUGAACCAGUGCUGAUAUGCAAAUGCUACACUCCUCAUCAAAACUAAGCCCAACUAAUAUUAUCUAACUUUAUUAACUGGGACCUGUAUUAGGUUUAAUAAACGUGUUUCUGUUUAGAGAGUAGCUUAACAUACAGUAAUUACUUCCAGAUUCCAUAUCAUCCAGCCCCGCUUUCUGAUGAUGUGUUGGUGGGGGAGGGAACAGUUCUGUAGUGGGUUGACAUGUUUUCUGUAGCCUGCAGCAGAUUUUAUUACAAAGAAAGCAGAAUGCAACCCUGUUACCCAGUCAGACUAAUCAGUAAGUAAACACAGCUCCGUUUAAGUAAAAAGUGUAACCAAAAAUAAGAUGUAGACUAAUAAGAUUCUUAGUAAGGUGUAUAUAGUGCUUGGCAUCAGUGUAGUAAAACAGACGUAGGGCCUAUCAAUGGAUUUUAGGGAGAAAACUGUGUGAAUCACUUCAGUGCCAGACCUACUGCACAGUGCAUGUGUAUGUCAUACCAGAAGGAAUUGGUGCUGAAAAUAAAACAUUUGGAAUAAUUUGAGAAUCUGUGAAAGUGAAGAUGCACUAAAAUAAUCAUUCCAUGGCAAACAACUGUUUACCGCAGUGUGGUAGUGUAUGUUAUACAGAAGUAUCUUAACUUUUAAAUUUGAUAAUUCUACAGCGGUCCAUUUAAUUUUGCCUUCUGUCCAAACCUCUUGGCUGUCCCUAAUUUUGCCCCAUACCACAUAAAGGUUUUGAAUUUCUUGUAAAUCACUGGGAAUUGCAAUUGGUCAAUAAUGCCAGAAUUUCUUGCUUCUCGUUUAGAAAAUGCAUGUGGAUGCAAAACCUGUUGCUCUAUUAAUUUUAUAAGUAAAUUGGAGAUCUGUUUAAAAACUGUUCUUGAUUUGACUUGCUGUUAUUUUUGGAUUUAUAAAGAAUUCUUGAUCAUCGAAGUUGAGAGAUGCUCUGUAGAAUAGAUAGCGCAGUGUAACUUCAAAGCUAGUAAACACUUCACUUGCAUAUGGUUGCUCCUUUUCUGUAACUAGUAUUCUGGACAAAUCCAGAAUGUAUGUGAUUCUCACACAUCCAUAAUUUUUUCAAGUGUUUAAUCAAUCCAUUGGUAGACAAUGAUUUAAUAGUUUUAUCUGUUUUAUUACAACGCAUGCCAAGCACUGUACAUCUUAUUGAGAAUCUUAUCCUGUUUCCUCCUUAGUUACCCUUCCACUUGAGUAUAACUUUGUUGAUUUAUUGUGUAAGAGAUUGUGAUACACUCUUGAUUAAUUUGUAAUCUGCUGUAGAUUACAGAAAACAUGCCAGCCCACUACAGAACUGUCACCCCACCACCAACACAUCAGAAGGCAGGGCUGGGUGACAUGGAAUUAGCAAGUAAUCGAAAAGUUGCUCAACAUACAGUAAACUAACACCAGUUGUUAAAUUUGGAAUAAGAAGACCCACUUUACAAGAGGAGGGCAUAAUUAUAACAGAAACUAUAAAAAUAGCUUUGCACUUGAUCUUUAAGAAAUGUAGCUAUCUAUUUUGACAGAAUACCAGAUAAUGUACUUGGGGAGUUACUGUGAUAGCUUUCUUUUAAAUACAUUUUUCACAGCUCUGUGUUUUAAGCUUUUCAAAGAGGAUAUCCCCAUCCCCCAGGUGUGUAUGGUAUGAGAUGUUUUAACUAGUAAAAAUAACAGAUGCUUGCUUGAAUCCAUUAGAGCAGAAACAAGUAUUAACUGUACUUCACACAGAAUCAAAAAUCAUAGCAAGCAGUUUAAGUGAUCAACUGGUUUCUGUAGUAUUUUUUUCACUGAAGUCUGGGAAACCUGAUUUGACUUGAAAACAUAUUUAAUGUUGAACACAAACCCUGCAUUCUUUAUUUAGCUAUGUGUGCACGAACAGACAAUUGUGAGGGGGGGAAAGUAUUCCUGAGUCAGGAUGGUUUUCCCAAGUUUAUUUUAAAGGGUUACAGCUAUACAGUUGAAUUAUUAAGGGAAAAAAAUCACCACUCAUGAGCAGUCAUCGGAUCUGUGGAUUAGUUGUGGCAGCUGUUACUGCAUUUUUAUCCACACAACCUUUUUGAAAAGAUAUGGCGAGACUUCUACAGCAUGGAGCAUGCUUUACAUGCUGAUCAUUGUGCGAAAGUGUGAAUUUUAUUUAAGUGUACUGUUGAAUACCAUGAAAUGGUAGAGGCAACGGUUUAAGAUUAACACAAUGCACUGCAACAGGAGAGGUUCAUUUUAAAGGCAGAAUCUUGUAUGUGCCUCACUGUCAUUCUCUGUCAAAUGAGCUGCUUAAUGAUGCAGGCCAUUCCUUGCCAUUAUAUUUAGACCAAAGACGUGCCGAUCUUGUCUGAGAAAAAAAAUCUUGCAGACAGGCAAGUAUGCUGGAAAGGAGCUCUCUUUAAGCCAAGUUUGUAGGUUUUGCAGGUAAGGGGUAAGAAUGGCAGUGAAUAAGGACAGUUUCAAACUAAUGGCACUCUUGUUUGAGAAACAUGUCUUUAGGGGGUGCUAUAGCAGAUUCAUUCAUUUUGCAGAAAGCAGGAGGUGUCUGUGUUAAACAAAACCCAGCCACGCUCGACUUUUCACUGUGUAAUUCCUUAAAUCCCCUGUAGUGGAAGCCCAUGGGAUAUAUGCAAAUGAACCCUUAAGGACAUAGUAUCUCAGCUUAUAUGGCUUCUGAUGCCCAUGACAUUUUACUUCAAGUAUGUAUGGGUACAUUCAGGUCAAUAAUGUUAAGCCCCAGUAGCUGUGGACAUGAAUGUGACAUCAGCACAGCACAAGUGGAUUGUUUGACCAUAUUUUAGUAACACAAAGCUUCAAAUCAAGCCUGAUGUCCAUAAACAUUAAAGUGCCUGCAAAAUAUUCCGGCUAACAUCCACACUGAAGAGUAACAAACACCUUAAUGUUUAUAGGUAUCAGGCUUGAUUUGCAAUCAAGUGAUUGGCUUCAAAUCACAUCCCUGGGGAACCUGCCUCCUCAGCAGAGUUGAAGUUUCCAACCUGGAAAACUGUUCUGGUGACUGUCACAUCAUCUGAAAGGAUUCUUCUUGAUCUUCCAUAAAGACUGUAUGAACUAACCCUUUCUUUAUGUUUGAAAUUGUACCAAGUCAAACUUUAAUUAGUAGAUUGAUUUGACUGUUUUUUUUUCCUUAUUCAAAUACUAUAUCAUCAGGUAAGGUGCUGUGUUGAAAGAACUAAAUCUGUUAGAAGGCCAGCAACUUUUCAUUUGUUCUAAUAAACAUCAUCAUCAUCAUCAUCCCCUUUUUCCCCAUUUACAUGGGGUAGGACGUAGUGCUACUAUUUCAAAGGUCACUUGCUAGACUGUUUGACUGCAUUAAAUUACAUAUCUUCACUUGUAAUUUCUAAGGCUAAUUCUACCAGAGCCAUGGCCACUUGAAUUGCUUAUGUUUCAGGAAUGCCACACCUGAUGCUACUAGUGCAGUAGCUACGUAAUGAUCAGUUAGUAGCUUUGUGGAGAAUUACAAACCUGAUGUGAUAUCCAGAUACAGAACUUCCUUUGGAGCAAGAUUUAUGUUCUUGGAAGCCAUGUACUAGUUGUAGCAUGGAAAUUGUCUUUUGGGAUAAAAAAAUUAUGUACUUUAACAAAAGAGUUUGAAGAGUUGUACAUUCUGAGGGGAUAUAAGGCUUUCUCUAGCUUCACAUUGCUAACCUUGUGGAGAUGGUGAGCAUCAUAGUGCAUUCUUUGAUAGAGGAAGGGUGCUGAACAGCUUGAGAAAGUAUGGUCUGCUGAGCAGUCAGUGUCUGUGGCCUUGGUCCUAUGAUUUACCAAGGAUGGAGACCUACUGUUUCAGGCCUGUCAUUACAGUAAGUAUAUAACCUGUGUGGUGUUUGCUAUUAUGGCAUUAGUUGUGGCUGAAAGUGAUUCAAGAAGGACCAGUUCACUGUACUGACUAAUGAAAUUCAAAGUAACCCUUCACCUACAAGCAGUCUAUUAAUGCAGUGUUAGAUUCCAUACUUCUGCCAGGUUUGUCAGCAGUUGGCUGGAGCUCGGUCAAAGUAAAUUUAAGUGCAACAAAACUCUUUUGAACUGAACAAGUAAAGAAGCUUUUUACUUUAAUUUAUCUGUUAAAAUAUUUAUUCUUAAUCAGAGUAGUGAAUACCAUGAAUCGAGUAAGUCAUCUUAGUUAUCCCACACAUGAUUCUUGUGUGACUUUCAAGAGCCGUUCGGCUUUAGUGAGACAGAGCAGCUCUUACAACUAGCUUGGCAGGAAUGAAGUGGAACAUGGCAUGGUCAGCAUAGUAUGAAUGAAUGAAAGUUCAGGGUACUGUUUCUGGAAGAUAACUACUGAAGGUAUUAGCAGGAAAACCUUGGCAUGAUCCUGUGUAGGAGUUAGAGUAAAAUAAAAUGUGUGAAAUGUUUAAAGUCAGGCAUCUUACAGAGCUGCUGAAAAGUGGUCCCUUCUCCUUUGCAAACUUUGAGCUCUGUUCUUUACCCAUAGGGAUUGAUGUUACACAAUUCAUCAGCUUAUAAUGCACUAGACCAAAGAAUUGUUCCAGCAACCAGUUUUUGGGGUGAGUGCCUGCUUUAAAUGAAAGCUCACCUGUGCUUGAGUUUGGCCAUUCAAGGCAGUAGAUGUUGGAGGUGCUUUUUCAACAUGGGACUUGGGCCCUUAAUUUUCUGUUUCUUCUGUCCCACAUCAUCUUUUCUUGAAAACUAAGAUGUAUAAAAGCUAGCCUAACUCUCGUUCUAGGGGUAUGGAGACUGUGGAGAAGAGAGAACAGCUUCCUCUAUGGAAUUUCAUGCACCUUCAUUUUAACUUUGUGCAGCUGUUGUGGCCAGGUCAUUAGCAUCCGGGAGUCUGGUAUGUGCUGUCCCCAUAUGACAUGUCCCUUUCCUCCUGGAAGGAAGGAUUGGGGCUGGGAGUCCUUUCUUUUGGCAACUCAUAACUGUCUGAAUUCUGUUUUCCUGAGUCCAACUUCCAGAAGUACAGUUCUUGAAAUUAUUUUACAUUGUUUAGCUGCACCGUGAGUUCUCAGUUGAGCAAACCAUUUUUUCACCACCACCCCCCUGUUAGGUUUAUUGCUUUGUCUAUAGAUGUGCAACUGUGAAGUAGUGUGGGGAAUUUGGAUAGAGUUCCCCACAUGGGACUUGAGCCCUUCAGAAAAAAAGUUGACAAAUCUGAGUUCUCCAGUUUACUGUCAACAGAUUGGGUUAGCUUCUAUUAUUGGAUCAGUUUAUACAUUUUAUCAUAGAUGUAGAUGGUCUUCUCUGGGAGGAGGUCCUCUGAGCAAGGUUUGCAGACCAUGGCAGAACUUCUGUGAAAGAGGAGUGAUUGACAAUCCCAUUUCUCUUCCUUUUCAUCCAUUUCAGACUGUCAGACAUCUUAAGUAGAAGAACCACAUCACAGACAAGUUGUCAAGCAUCAGGGCAGUCUUCCCACCAUUGCAUUCACACGCCAAGCCUCCCAGAAGGUAGACUUCAUAGUUGAUUUUUCAGCACACUAGGAUUUGAAGUGGGAGGCUGGUUAGCCGAGUUUGCUCUGUACAUCACCCAACCCAGCCAUAUCUUGGAGUCUUUCUUUCCCAUCAGGAGAGGUUGUUUAUUACUGACCCCCCCCCCCCAUUUCACAAGAGUUUCCAUCUUUACUUCUGUUACAUCAGUUCCAUAAAAGUGUCCCCCUUUCUUAGGAAGCCUAGAUGGUGUCACUGCACAUGAUAGACUCUGUUGGCACACAUACUUGUCAACCUGUUAGAGCACGAAAUCUCAACAAAGGUAUCAAUUAAUGGGGGGAACAAAGCCCUAAAAAAUGGGGCACUUUUUAAAUAUUGCUCUUACAAACUUUAAGUGGCUAGAAUAACAGGUUAUGUGUUAGCAUUAAUUUUCUGAAGGAUAUGAAGUAUGAAACUCAUGUGCCAUUGUCUUCUGACUUCAGUCCUCAAUGAUUUGCCAGAAAACCACAAUUUUAAGAGAAAUAGACCAAAAAAAGGCAAAAAUCUGUACAGUUGAGCGAUAUGUUGGCACAGGUUUAUCAAAAUGUUGAUCACCCAUCGUCGAUGCCACUAACGCGAACUCCGAACAGCGACUGUUGGGAUGUCGAACACCGAUAUUCCGAAAUGCAAAAUCCCCCCGUUGGACCCAUGGUAGCACUUGUUUUGUGGUGUAGCGGUCGGAAAUGUCGACAUUCGGUGUUUUAGUUCGAUAUCUUCAGGAAUCGGCAUUAUAGCUUUCGCAUAAGAGUCGACAGUAUGUACAUUCGACGAUGGGCGAUCGACAUUUUGAUAGUAAACCAUUGGCACAUCAUUGUCUGACAUCCUUAUUCGGUUCUUUCUAGGUUAUUACUUUUUUGUACAAGAUGCUGACAUUUGGUCUGUUAUGUCACCCCAUAGUGUUUGCUAAAGAUGUGGCCACAAUAACAGAGCCCUUAAUAGAGAAGGGGUGUCCUAAUGUCCCCUUGUCAGGUGACUGCUUUUGUUGGCUCAAUUGAGGGAGUCCUAAUAGCAGCCCUUUCAUGGAUUUUUCUUUUGCUGCAUCUCCUGAAGGAAAACCUUUCUUUCUUUGUAAAGUCUUUGUUUCAGCAUAGAUGAUUCCAUUUACUGAGAUGGUGUUGGAAAUUUUUUUUUUAGCAUUUUCUGUUUGUGUCUGGCCUUGGCGUCUUGAAUGUGGUGGUAGGUUUGAGUUAGGGCAUGAAUACUUUGGUCUUUUUGGCCUCAUGGUGGCCGCAGUUGAUGUUUUUCCCCAUUGAGUUUGCUUCAUUUGAAGGUGCUACAGUGGACAGUCAUGCAUCAGUCACUGCAUAUCGUCAGUUUGUAGUGCAUGGAGUGCUGUGGAUGCCCUCCAGUAGCUGAAGAAAGUAAACUUGUUGAAUAUUUCUGUAGAGUUGAGACCCGGUUUUAUAAUGUUAGUUGAAGGUAGUUUUGCUCUCAAGAUGAAUUUCUUGGCAUCCACACACAAAGCUGUAACAUAUAGCUUUAGGUUACUGCAGAACAUCUACUGUUCAACAAUGCCCAUUUUAAUUUCUGCAGAAAACUAAAAAAAAAAAAAUCGUAUCUUAAUAGUAGCAACAUAUCUGGUAAUGAUUAAGGUUUAUAGGAGCCCGCAGGUAUUAAAACUCAUUUUGACUGCAGAGGCUGGAAAAUCAUAAACAAGAAAAUCUGACUUAGCUAAGAAAAAGGCAGGACUAAAAUCAGACAGUUUGAACAUCUACUGUUAUGGAUUUAUAUGUGCAAUUGUACUUUGUGAAUUUUUUUUUUUUUUCAUUUUAAAUGGGACGCUGUGUUUUUGUAAAAGCUAUGCAUGUUUAACCAGCCGUCCAGUUUUGUACCAUUUUAAGUUAUUUUUGAUUACUGGACUAAUUUUUAUUUCUUUUUUUUUUUUUUUUUCUUACUCAUCAAAACAUUGACCCUAAGACUGUUCAUAUGAAAAUGGAAUAUUCUGUUACCUGAGAAGUAUGAAUAUUUAGAACAUUAGGUACUAAAGAGCAUGGGCAAAUAGGGUAGUUAAAAAGGUUAGGUAAUGUACAUCUGUUUGCAUGGUGUGGAAAGGAAGUAAAUUAAGUAUAAUUAGUCAUUUUUGGUGUCCUAUAAACCACCAUUUUAGUGCUUGUAAAGUCAGGGUUGUUAAACUACUGAAACCUUUGGUAAAAUAACCUUGCCUUAUCAUUUUUGCUGAAUUGGUUGUAAAACAGAUCAGUUCUGAAUUUAUUGUUAGUAGUAUAAUUUCUUGCAGUAUGUGAGCAGAAUUGCUGCUUGAGAGUUGCGUAGGAAUGUGGUGGUUGCUGGAAUAAGUUAUCACAUAUAUUUGGAAAAGCAGUGCGGUUCAGUUUUACAUCUGUAAAAUAGCCUAGCUAAUCAAGUUAAGUGUACCUUUGAUGAGACAAUGAAGACCAAACUAUCUGGUUGGAAAAGUAACAAUAUAAUAUUAAAGGCUGAGAAUGUGGUUUCAUACCUGUGCCAUGCAGAAGCUGACCUAAUGUUCCAAGUAUGUUUUUGAGGAAGUGCUUUUUCCCCCCUGAAUAUUUGGUAAAGUGUUGCAUUUGUUGAAGGAUAAUAGUGGAACUUUAUAAGUGUGGCUUCCUGGCUGCCCUGAGAAGUGGGCAAAGUGACUACAAUGUGUUAUACAAACUGCAUUUUGUAAAGAGAGGUAAUUCCUAGCACUGAUUAUGCUUGUAAUUACAAUUAGAGGCGGGGCUAACCACCCAGCAGUGUGAAUGUUGGGCUGAAGGUCAUCACUGAUGUGACGCUCUGACAUAGUGUACAAAGUAGAAAAAAGGGGUUGCUGCCAGUGUCUGUUAGUGUGAUGUUAUGCAAAUUACUGUGCUUGUGCAGUUCAUUUUCUUUUAGAACCAGGUAUAAUCUGCAAGAAUGUUUUUGUCUUCUAUUACAUUUUUUUCUCUCCAUAUCACAUAAAUGUUUUUGCACACAGUUGUUACUGCUGUUCACUAGAUUGUUUGAUCAUUAAUUUGUUCAUUGUUAAAUUAGUAAGUUUCCAAUACUUUUGGACUUUAUUUGCAAUGUGAUCUCUUUGAUUGUAUUAAAAUGCUUGCCAGAGUGCAGCAGGGUUAGUUUAACAGCAUCAGUACUCUAUUUAACCCCUUGUUUAAUGACAGUAAAUUAUCCAAGUGCAGAGUUAUUUUUUCUCAACUUCCUCCAUUUGUCAAUAGUUCUCUUGAAAUGGCUUUGAAAGGAAUGUCCAUUCCUUAAAGUUAAAUUGAUCGCAAGUUGUCCUACUCAAGACAGAUUUUUAUGUAUUGUUCUUUGUGUUUUUCUCAGACUGAAUGAUUUGUAAAUCGUGUAUAAAAUUUACAUUCCAAUGUUUUAAUUUUUAUUUUGCAGUAUAGUGAAGGCAAAUAAAGUUCCAGCGUGCCCUUUCAGUUAAAAGUAUACAGCAGGUAAUGCAAAUAAACAAGCUGCACAGACUGUAUUGUCUUGAGAUAAAGGUUAAAUAAAUUCCUAUUUAAAAUCUGCAGAUUGUCUUCUGGUUUAAUACCAGGAUAUAAGUAGUGGCAUUGAACUGUUAUGCAUUUCAAGCAUUUUACUGUUUCAUUCUUUGUAGAUGAAACCUAUAAUCUUGCUGAAGCGAUUGUCAGAGAAAAUGUUUUCUGAGGCUGUAAUUUUUUCAUUGUAGCAUGUCAUUCUGGUUGCAUUAUCAGUCUUUCUUUCGAAUUAACACUUUCAUAUUUUGGAGUCAGUAUAAUAAAGCAGGUAAAGUGUUGAGAAAUGUAGCCUUCAUGGGUGCAUGAAAAGGGAAAUAAAUGUUGCCAAAAGUGUUUCUGUUCUGGGAGAUCACCUGCAUAUAGUUUAGGAAUGGCAGGGUUAUGGUCCUUGAUAGGUGGUCAAAACUUUUAGUGUUACAAUAGUUGCUCUGGUCUGUUGAAUUAGUAGAAAUUUCCUGUCACACCUGGAGAAUUCAUACUUGCCUGAUAUACUGGAUUCAUGCCACUUUGUAAGCAGUCUGAUAUUAAAUGUCUUUUCAGCUUAACUAACAACCAGCCUCUUAUUGUGCAACUUGCUAGUUUUACAAACCAGUUUUAAAAACUGAAGUUUUGUUAAUGUACAGUGUACAGCACUUUGACUUGUUCCUUCAUUUGAUGCAUAGGGCACUCUGCCUUCACUUUUUUCAGUCCUGACUUUAUUCUGUAAAGUGCACUCCACUUGUAAAUAUUUAUGCAUUACUUGAUUUGUGCAUGUUUUUAUGUAUUAUGAAUAAACACCUUGCCAACCAA